UACGUAGGGGGCGAGCGUUGUCCGGAGUUACUGGGCGUAAAGGGCGUGUAGGCGGUUGAAAAAGUCAGGUGUGAAAUUCUUCGGCUCAACCGGGGGACUGCGCCUGAAACUUUUCGACUGGAGUUCGGGAGGGGCAACUGGAAUUCCUGGUGUAACGGUGAAAUGUGUAGAUAUCAGGAGGAACACCCGUGGCGAAGGCGGGUUGCUGGACCGAAACUGACGCUGAGACGCGAAAGCGUGGGUAGCAAACAGGAUUAGAUACCCUGGUAGUCCACGCUGUAAACGAUGAGUGCUAGGUGUAGGGGGUAUCGACUCCCUCUGUGCCGCAGUUAACGCAUUAAGCACUCCGCCUGGGGAGUACGGCCGCAAGGUUAAA
rnacentral:rRNA from 1 species